AUUGAACGCUGGCGGCAUGCCUUACACAUGCAAGUCGAACGGCAGCAUGGGUGCUUGCACCUGAUGGCGAGUGGCGAACGGGUGAGUAAAGCAUCGGAACGUACCCGGAAGUGGGGGAUAACGUAGCGAAAGUUACGCUAAUACCGCAUAUUCUGUGAGCAGGAAAGCAGGGGCUCGUAAGGCCUUGCGCUUUCGGAGCGGCCGAUGUCGGAUUAGCUAGUUGGUGAGGUAAAGGGUCACCAAGGCGACGAUCCGUAGCGGGUCUGAGAGGAUGAGCCGGCACACUGGGACUGAGACACGGCCCAGACUCCUACGGGAGGCAGCAGUGGGGAAUUUUGGACAAUGGGCGGAAGCCUGAUCCAGCCAUGCCGCGUGAGUGAAGAAGGCCUUCGGGUUGUAAAGCUCUUUUGUCAGGGAAGAAAUAGCUUGGGUUAAUACCCUGGGCGGAUGACGGUACCUGAAGAAUAAGCACCGGCUAACUACGUGCCAGCCGCCGCGGUAA
rnacentral:rRNA from 1 species